rnacentral:rRNA from 1 species
GACGAACCGUGCGAACGUUGUUCGGAAUCACUGGGCUUAAAGGGCGCGUAGGCGGACCGGCGAGUCAGGGGUGAAAGCCCGCGGCCUAACCGCGGAAGUGCCCCUGAUACCGCCGGCCUUGAGGGGGAUAGGGGCGUGCGGAACUUCGGGUGGAGCGGUGAAAUGCGUAGAUAUCGGAAGGAACAUCAGUGGCGAAAGCGGCUUCCUGGUCCAGCACCGACGUUCAGGCACGAAAGCGUGGGGAGCAAACAGG